rnacentral:pre_miRNA from 1 species
UUGAUACUCUCUUCGUCCGAAAAUACUUGUCAUCAAAAUGAAUAAAAGGAGAUGUAUUUUAGUUUUAGAUACAUUUUUUUGUCCAUUUUAAUGACAAGUAUUUUCAGACGAAGGGAGUAUAAG